CUACGGGAUGCACCAGUGGGGAAUAUUUCACAAUGGAGGAAACUCUGAUGCAGCAACGCCGCGUGGAGGAUGACACUUUUCGGAGCGUAAACUCCUUUUAUAUAGGAAGAAGAUGACGGUACUAUAUGAAUAAGCGCCGGCUAACUCCGUGCCAGCAGCCGCGGUAAUACGGAGGGCGCAAGCGUUACUCGGAAUCACUGGGCGUAAAGGGCGUGUAGGCGGAUUAAAAAGUCAGAAGUGAAAUCCUAUAGCUUAACUAUAGAACUGCUUCUGAAACUCUUAAUCUAGAAUAUGGGAGAGGUAGAUGGAAUUUCUGGUGUAGGGGUAAAAUCCGUAGAGAUCAGAAGGAAUACCGAUUGCGAAGGCGAUCUACUAGAACAUUAUUGACGCUGAGACGCGAAAGCGUGGGGAGCAAACAGGAUUAGAUACCCUUGUAGUC
rnacentral:rRNA from 1 species